GGGGAUAACACUUGGAAACAGGUGCUAAUACCGUAUAACACUAUUUUCCGCAUGGAAGAAAGUUGAAAGGCGCUUUUGCGUCACUGAUGGAUGGACCCGCGGUGCAUUAGCUAGUUGGUGAGGUAACGGCUCACCAAGGCCACGAUGCAUAGCCGACCUGAGAGGGUGAUCGGCCACACUGGGACUGAGACACGGCCCAGACUCCUACGGGAGGCAGCAGUAGGGAAUCUUCGGCAAUGGACGAAAGUCUGACCGAGCAACGCCGCGUGAGUGAAGAAGGUUUUCGGAUCGUAAAACUCUGUUGUUAGAGAAGAACAAGGAUGAGAGUAAAAUGUUCAUCCCUUGGCGGUAUCUAACCAGAAAGCCACGGCUAACUACGUGCCAGCAGCCGCGGUAAUACGUAGGUGGCAAGCGUUGUCCGGAUUUAUUGGGCGUAAAGCGAGCGCAGGCGGUUUCUUAAGUCUGAUGUGAAAGCCCCCGGCUCAACCGGGGAGGGUCAUUGGAAACUGGGAGACUUGAGUGCAGAAGAGGAGAGUGGAAUUCCAUGUGUAGCGGUGAAAUGCGUAGAUAUAUGGAGGAACACCAGUGGCGAAGGCGGCUCUCUGGUCUGUAACUGACGCUGAGGCUCGAAAGCGUGGGGAGCGAACAGGAUUAGAUACCCU
rnacentral:rRNA from 1 species